rnacentral:misc_RNA from 1 species
GAUGAAGAACGCAGCGAAAUGCGAUAAGUAAUGUGAAUUGCAGAUUUCAGUGAAUCAUCGAAUCUUUGAACGCACCUUGCGCCUUGUGGUAUUCCACAAGGCAUGCCCGUUUGAGUAUCAUUAAAUCAUCAACUCUAAAACCUUUGUGGUUUUUUUAGAGCUUGGUCUUGAGGGUUUUGCAGGCUUUUUUUCGAGUCUACUCCCUUUAAAUGCAUUAGCGAGACUUCCCUAUGCUGAACCGUCUCUUUGACGUGAUAAUUAUCUGCGUCGAAUUUUGGUUCUCGUUGGGCUUGCUUCUAAUCGUCUGUUAAAGACAAAACGGACUUGGGUGCAUAUAUGCGCCUUUUUCCAAAACCUUUUUUGAUCUCAAAUCGGGUAGGACUACCCGCUGAACUUAAGCAUAUCAAUAAGCGGAGGA